rnacentral:lncRNA from 1 species
UAAUGCCAAAGCUUCGAGAAGAGGGUAAACAGCCCAAUUUGAGCCCGAGCCCGAGUAGCGAUGUCUGAGAGGGAUCCGAGCGGAUCAUCUGUAAUUCUUCCUCCACAGUUCUGCUUGGCAUUUUCACAUAACUGUUCAAGACUGAAAGUUCUGAAAACGUGGAGCCACCAGCCGACUUCCCUUUCCGUCUCAUUAGUCGGGGUGGAGGCACAAGGCCAGCUGAGCUACGAGGGAAACAAGGAAGUGAGUUUCUGGCAACGGGAGGUGGGACGGUCGUGACCAGGCAAAGCGGCUGCUUCAGUGUCCCCGGAACGUUGAAAAAUAAGAGUUUUAUUUCCUUGUAAAAGUUAAUAGAUAAUCAUGAAGAAAGUUUGGAAAGAGGAAAAAAAAAAAAAUUCCCCCAAUGCGGCUGCUCAGCACCCUUUUAAUACUUAUAAUCAUAUUGUACUGUGGGACUUUUUUUGACCUAACAUGAUUAGUUUAAAGCUCUAUGGUUUUUGAAAUCUAUUAUUUCGAAAUAAAACAUAAACCAAGGAGGUAGCAUGGAGCAGCAGGAAGGGGGCUGGCUUUGGUGUAAAGAGACGGUGCUUGGAGCCCGGGUCCUGGCACGAAUCCAUCACUGUAUUUCUGCUUCCUCAAAAUCGAGAAAUGUGUUUCCUGAGUUCCACCACUUCCAAGGCUUCGUGAUCACAAGAGCCGUGUCUUUGAGACACGCAAGCCAUGCUGUUCAGAUACUGACUCAACACAGUGGGUCUAGACCGCAAAGACAAGCAGAAGAGUGAACUGGAAGUUACCACCGUGUGAAACUGGGUGCCUGAUAUGCAAUAAUGUAAGAUACAAUACAGAAUGUGUACCCGUGCUUCCUGUUUUUCAACGGCAGCCAGAAAUCUGGAUUUUCAUGUGAAAUUAUUAGCUUUUAAAACAGGGACACCUAAUUUGAAAAGCAAAAUACUCUAGAGGCCAGACAAAACACAUCUGCUCAAUGUCAGUCUGCAGCUCUGGCUAAACCAGCAACCAGCUUGAGCAACACUGGAAAAGGGAUGUAUGGGGUGAGACGGGAGGUGGGAGUAGGAAAAGCUGCUUAUAGGACCUUUUGGUCAUGCAGCAGCUGGAAUAGUACAAGCCGUCUAAAACAUCAAAUACUUAUAUUAAUGGUGAAUACAUACAAUCUAGGCUUUUUAGCAUCUCUAGUUUUUUACACCGAGGCCAUCAUUACUUCCCGCUGCGGAUUCUGAAACACCCUCGGGUGUGACCUGAGCUUUGACCUGCGCUCCUGAGUAAGCACGUGCUCUAUGGGAAACAACUGAGUCGGAUCCUGUGAGGUCCCAAAAUGUCUCAUCGGAAUGUGAAACAUGCCAAUUUUUUUCUCUUUCAUGUGUGUUUCCCCCGAUUGCUGAUCGUUACGGUUCGAAAUCAAGUCCUGUGUCUUUUGCCUCCAUCGUUCAGUUUAAGGACAAAACGAAAAUGAAAAUCACGAGCGUCUUCGACGGGUGUUCCCUUGGGUUCGAAUUGCCACCUCCAGCCAUUUGUUCUCUUCUCAGCCUAAAUGUUGCCCCUUUCAUGUCUCCCCUUCAGAGAGAGAACGACCCACGACACCAGGCGCUGCAGGUCUUCGCACUCUCAGCAGUUCUGACUCUCGCUGCCUGAAACCGGUACAGAAAGAGGAUGUAACAACGUUGAACUUUUUAUGUGAUUUUUUUUGCCUUUGACACAGUUGUUAGAGGUUUUUUUUUUUUGUUUGUUUUUUGUUUUUUUUUUUUUUUUUUUAAAGCAACAGCGCCCUAGAAGGACACCAGGUUUCUAAAUGAUUCAUCUUCUCACAGACCUUGAUAUUCAAUCCAGGUGUAGGAAUAACAGGAUAGCCCUUGGGUUCUAUCCUCGGGGCUUGGAAAGGCUUCAGUGAAAUUCUAUAGCAAAAGGCCCCUGUGCUUACCCUGACUUUCUCUUUGUUCUACUCACUUUUUAUCUCUGAAAAGCAAAGGGAUUUCCUUGGGGGAUUAAGCAGAGGAAACAGCCAAAGGUAGCUAUCGUGUUUCAUUCGAAUUAGGAGAUGCAAAGAAUCCUGAAGUCAACUCAACGGGAAGCCCUUUGCCCCAGUCUUGGAAGGGUCCCCGGGUCUCACCAGCACGAGCGUCACAAGUCCUCAUCCCACCCAGACGGAUCAUCCUCUCUUCUCCCUCACCCGACCCCCACUCCGGGAAUAUCUUGGACAAACAGUAGUGGUUUCUCGAGCAAGGCAGAGAAAUGUCUCAUCGGAAUGUGAUACAUGCCAAUUUUUGUCUCUUUUCAAAAGUUUUUCCAUGUAAUAUCUUGCUAACACAAAAUCAUUUUGCAAUUACAUAUUUUUAAAUGGAUGGGUGCUGUUCUCACCCUGCGAGAUUCUGGUUUUGAGUCACUGAAAUGAACAGAGGUAGAAGAACGAGACAGAUGACUAGUUUUCUUAGUGAUAGAUCUUAGAAGCUGCUGCUCAAAGAAUGAGAUGAAAGGGAAGCAUUUCCCAUACCUCCAGCCGGACUUAUCUAUCUCCUGUCAACACAAAGCUACAUAAAAAAUACAUAUUGAGCUGCUAUUCAAGAGUCGCUACAAAAUCUUGAAAUAAACAAUAACAUAAGUCACAUUUCUAUUAGACUUCUCAAAUUUUUACAUCCUGAUUUCUGGUUGACAUCUACUUUAAAAAUAUCCAAUGAUAACCUGAAUGGCCAAUUUCUAAGUUAGCCAUAUUUUUUACUAAUUCCUUUUGAAGUAAAGUAAGGGUGUUUUUUUUUUUCUUUUGGUUAAUGAUUUUAAAAUGUUAAAAGAGCAAACUUUUUCACAUUUCCUUAUGUAACGUUGUAUUUUUCUUUUGCUUAUUAUGAUCACUCGUUACAUUUUUAGGGAGAUGCUUCAUUUAUACUUUUAGUGUUUGGGGAGUAGUCUGUGAAAUUUGACAUAUAGUAUUUCCAUUUGAUUUAAAAAUACUCUUCAUCACACUUUGGGUUUCCUCUCUAGCCCAAAUAUUAUUUAGCGGAGUUUAUCUUUUUCAUUUUUUUUUAAAUUUUAUUUUAUUAUUUCUUUUUCAUUUUUUCUAUGUGGUUAUUUUGUUAUUUCUAAUUGUAUGAUUUACUCUCUGGACAUGUGGAUUGUAGAGUUGUGACUUAUAUUGUGUAGUACAGAACAUGGUUAAUUUUUAUCAAAAAUAGCCUUGGGCGAAAAGCAAGCUUGCUUAUGUGUCCAUGUAGUUUUUUUGCACAUAUGUUAAAUCUGCCUUAUUAAUUUUGUAUCACUUUAUGUCACAUGGAUUAACUAAAUUCUACUUCUGAACUGCUGAUAUUCCUAAUUACAUUAUAUACUGUAUUUCUGCCCAUUUUUUUCUAUGUAUGCACUUUUUGCUGAAUAAAUUUAGAAAUUUUAGAUGAGAGCCU